GAGGGUAUAGCUCAGUGGUAGAGUGCAUGCUUAGCACGCGUGAGGUCCUGGGUUCAAUCCCCAGUACUGUCA
rnacentral:tRNA from 1 species